rnacentral:misc_RNA from 1 species
GAAAUGCGAUAAUUAAUGUGAAUUGCAGAAUUCAGUGAAUCAUCGAGUCUUUGAACGCACAUUGCGCCCCCUGGUAUUCCGGGUGGCAUGCCUGUCCGAGCGUCAUUGCUGCCCUCAAGCACGGCUUGUGUGUUGGGCUUCCGUCCCUGGCAACGGGGACGGGCCCAAAAGGCAGUGGCGGCACCAUGUCUGGUCCUCGAGCGUAUGGGGCUUUGUCACCCGCUCCCGUAGGUCCAGCUGGCAGCUAGCCUCGCAACCAAUCUUUUUAACCAGGUUGACCUCGGAUCAGGUAGGGAUACCCGCUGAACUUAAGC